GAUGCAUGGAAAUGCACGCAUUGCAGAUACUGCAGUUAGUAUACAGAGACACCAAGUGCAUUUAAUUCCGAUUUACUUGUUAGGUAUACAAUAUUAUUAUUAUUCAGUAUAAAUUCCGUUACCGAUAAAAAAACGCAAUAAAUAAUAUCGACAUAACACGUUUUUGAACUGCCUUUUGUUAGUCACUGCGAUUUGUUACAGAUAUGUUUGAACGCUCGAAAUCACUGUGUAUAGUUACGACAUUUUAAAAUCGAUUUACGAGGUACUAAACGACGUUUUUACCGUUUUUCGCGUUGGCGACAAAAGACGCGGAAUACGGAAACUAACACUGUUGCAUUCUGAUUUAAUUUUUGAAAAUUUGCGAUAGUUGCGUGCACUUGCCGCUACGAGGAC